AUUGAACGCUGGCGGAAUGCUUUACACAUGCAAGUCGAACGGUAGAGGGGGCAACCCCUCGAGAGUGGCGAACGGGUGAGUAAUAUAUCGGAACGUGCCCAGUCGUGGGGGAUAACGUAGCGAAAGUUACGCUAAUACCGCAUACGAUCUAAGGAUGAAAGCGGGGGAUCGCAAGACCUCGCGCGAUUGGAGCGGCCGAUAUCAGAUUAGGUAGGUGGUGGGGUAAAGGCUCACCAAGCCAACGAUCUGUAGCUGGUCUGAGAUGACGACAAGCCACACUUGAACUGAGACAGGGUCCAGACUCCUACGGGAGGCAGCAGUGGGGGAGUUUGGACAAUGGUCGCAAGUCUGAUCCAGCCAUUCCGCGUGCAGGAUGAAGGCCCUCGGGUUGUAAACUGCUUUUGUACGGAACGAAAAGGUCUCUCUUAAUACGGGGGGCUCAUGACGGUACCGUAAGAAUAAGCACCGGCUAACUACGUGCCCGCCGCCGCCGUAA
rnacentral:rRNA from 1 species